rnacentral:rRNA from 1 species
GACGAACGCUGGCGGCGUGCUUAACACAUGCAAGUCGAACGGAAAGGCCCUGCUUUUGUGGGGUGCUCGAGUGGCGAACGGGCGAGUAACACGUGAGUAACCUGCCCUUGACUUUGGGAUAACUUCAGGAAACUGGGGCUAAUACCGGAUAGGAGCUCCUGCUGCAUGGUGGGGGUUGGAAAGUUUCGGCGGUUGGGGAUGGACUCGCGGCUUAUCAGCUUGUUGGUGGGGUAGUGGCUUACCAAGGCUUUGACGGGUAGCCGGCCUGAGAGGGUGACCGGCCACAUUGGGACUGAGAUACGGCCCAGACUCCUACGGGAGGCAGCAGUGGGGAAUAUUGCCCAAUGGGCGGAAGCCUGAUGCAGCAACGCCGCGUGCGGGAUGACGGCCUUCGGGUUGUAAACCGCUUUCGCCUGUGACGAAGCGUGAGUGACGGUAAUGGGUAAAGAAGCACCGGCUAACUACGUG